GACAGGUUGCCAUAAGGUCUGAUGAUGUUUCCAUCUAUUUUUCCUUGGACGAGCGGGACUAUAUAAAAAGAAACAAGGCCCUUUACAAGGAAAGAAUAACGGAGGAGCCCCAGCAGUUUUUCCUGAUGGGCUGCAGUUCAUCUCUGUUCACAGACACAAUUACUUCUGCUGCAUGACUGAACCCAUCACCUGGGCAGAAGUGUAGAAUUAAAAGUCUGAAAGUGGGGGAUGGUUGAAGUGGGAAUGGAGAAUGGUUUAUGGGGUAAAUGUGGGGGUGCUGGGAAUGGACAACAGGAAGACACAGAGGCAGAUGGAAGGGUGAGAGAAUUGCGGAUGACACAAUAAGAAUGGCUUUAUAAGUUAACAAUAUGUC